GAGUUUGAUCAUGGCUCAGAUUGAACGCUGGCGGCAUGCCUUACACAUGCAAGUCGAACGGCAGCACGGGUGCUUGCACCUGGUGGCGAGUGGCGAACGGGUGAGUAAUACAUCGGAACAUGUCCCGUAGUGGGGGAUAGCCCGGCGAAAGCCGGAUUAAUACCGCAUACGAUCUACGGAUGAAAGCGGGGGACCUUCGGGCCUCGCGCUAUAGGGUUGGCCGAUGGCUGAUUAGCUAGUUGGUGGGGUAAAGGCCUACCAAGGCGACGAUCAGUAGCUGGUCUGAGAGGACGACCAGCCACACUGGGACUGAGACACGGCCCAGACUCCUGCGGGAGGCAGCAGUGGGGAAUUUUGGACAAUGGGCGAAAGCCUGAUCCAGCAAUGCCGCGUGUGUGAAGAAGGCCUUCGGGUUGUAAAGCACUUUUGUCCGGAAAGAAAUCCUUGGCUCUAAUACAGUCGGGGGAUGACGGUACCGGAAGAAUAAGCACCGGCUAACUACGUGCCAGCAGCCGCGGUAAUACGUAGGGUGCGAGCGUUAAUCGGAAUUACUGGGCGUAAAGCGUGCGCAGGCGGUUUGCUAAGACCGAUGUGAAAUCCCCGGGCUCAACCUGGGAACUGCAUUGGUGACUGGCAGGCUAGAGUAUGGCAGAGGGGGGUAGAAUUCCACGUGUAGCAGUGAAAUGCGUAGAGAUGUGGAGGAAUACCGAUGGCGAAGGCAGCCCCCUGGGCCAAUACUGACGCUCAUGCACGAAAGCGUGGGGAGCAAACAGGAUUAGAUACCCUGGUAGUCCACGCCCUAAACGAUGUCAACUAGUUGUUGGGGAUUCAUUUCCUUAGUAACGUAGCUAACGCGUGAAGUUGACCGCCUGGGGAGUACGGUCGCAAGAUUAAAACUCAAAGGAAUUGACGGGGACCCGCACAAGCGGUGGAUGAUGUGGAUUAAUUCGAUGCAACGCGAAAAACCUUACCUACCCUUGACAUGGUCGGAAUCCCGCUGAGAGGUGGGAGUGCUCGAAAGAGAACCGGCGCACAGGUGCUGCAUGGCCGUCGUCAGCUCGUGUCGUGAGAUGUUGGGUUAAGUCCCGCAACGAGCGCAACCCUUGUCCUUAGUUGCUACGCAAGAGCACUCUAAGGAGACUGCCGGUGACAAACCGGAGGAAGGUGGGGAUGACGUCAAGUCCUCAUGGCCCUUAUGGGUAGGGCUUCACACGUCAUACAAUGGUCGGAACAGAGGGUUGCCAACCCGCGAGGGGGAGCUAAUCCCAGAAAACCGAUCGUAGUCCGGAUUGCACUCUGCAACUCGAGUGCAUGAAGCUGGAAUCGCUAGUAAUCGCGGAUCAGCAUGCCGCGGUGAAUACGU
rnacentral:rRNA from 1 species